rnacentral:rRNA from 1 species
AGAUUGAACGCUGGCGGCAGGCCUAACACAUGCAAGUCGAGCGGAUGACGGGAGCUUGCUCCUUGAUUCAGCGGCGGACGGGUGAGUAAUGCCUAGGAAUCUGCCUGGUAGUGGGGGACAACGUUUCGAAAGGAACGCUAAUACCGCAUACGUCCUACGGGAGAAAGCAGGGGACCUUCGGGCCUUGCGCUAUCAGAUGAGCCUAGGUCGGAUUAGCUAGUUGGUGGGGUAAUGGCUCACCAAGGCGACGAUCCGUAACUGGUCUGAGAGGAUGAUCAGUCACACUGGAACUGAGACACGGUCCAGACUCCUACGGGAGGCAGCAGUGGGGAAUAUUGGACAAUGGGCGAAAGCCUGAUCCAGCCAUGCCGCGUGUGUGAAGAAGGUCUUCGGAUUGUAAAGCACUUUAAGUUGGGAGGAAGGGCAGUAAGUUAAUACCUUGCUGUUCGACGUACCUACAGAA